AGCUGAGGUAGGGACGUGCUGUAGGUCGGAAUGUUACCGGCUGUUGGAUCUGUGGAUGAGGAAGAGGAUCCUGCGGAGGAGGAUUGUCCUGAAUUGGUUCCCAUUGAGACGAAGCAAAGCGAGGAGGAGGAAAAGUCUGGCCUCGGCGCCAAGAUCCCAGUCACAAUUAUCACCGGGUAUUUAGGUGCUGGGAAGACAACACUUCUGAACUAUAUUUUGACAGAGCAACAUAGUAAAAGAGUAGCGGUCAUUUUAAAUGAAUUUGGGGAAGGAAGUGCGCUGGAGAAAUCCUUAGCUGUCAGCCAAGGUGGAGAGCUCUAUGAAGAGUGGCUGGAACUUAGAAAUGGUUGCCUCUGCUGUUCAGUGAAGUGAGGAAUGUGUUUACUAUGUACAUGGUUUACUAGAAAUGUUUAUUGAUUAUAUUUCCAGCUUUAAUUUUCUUGAGUAAUUUAACUGAAUUUACACAGUUUGUUUCAUUGUAUUUUCAAACAAAUAGAAAAUAAACUUAUUAGGAAGCAUUUUCUUAAAGUGUUUCUUGCUGUCUUUUCUAUCUGCUCUAAUGUUUUGGUCCUUUUAUUGAGUUUUUAUUGCUUUUGAUGUCAGGGCUUAUUUAAUCUCUAGUACAUGAAAGUCUCAUAUGUAAAAAAUGAGUAUUCUGAAUUAAAUAUGUCAUUGGUCAUAUUUCUAAGUGUUCAACCUUAUAAAAAAAAUAAAUGACUAUCAAAAAAGAGAAAAACCUUACAUUAUGUUCCACCAGUUAAGUUUCCAAGGACAGUGUCUGUUCACUAGUCUACCAUAGACCCUAGAAGAGUUACCCAACACAUAGUAGCACUCAAAUAUUUGUUGAAUGAAUUAUAAAAAUGACUAGUUGUAUUGUUAAUUUU
rnacentral:sRNA from 1 species